GUUUGCUUAAUGCAAACCAUAACUAUGACCUAGUUGGUAACUGUGUUUUGUUAUUGAAAAACGAAACUACAUUUACUUUCGAUUUGAUGUUAUUUGUUAAACAAUAUAAGAUACGUUGUUGUCAGGAUUAUUUCCACAGAAAGCUGACGUGUGAGGACCAAUAUCUGAAGAUCCCCACAUCUGGUCGAUAUCCUCAUCAGUGACUCUGCUUCCCGCGAGCGGUUACCUAUGCCCGGAGUAAACAACGUGAAGUCAAAAUUGUCAUAGCCAAGGUUUCCCGUGUGAGUGGGAUCUCUGUUUCUGUGGCCGAUAUGGUGCCUUGUGGUAGCAGUGACGACUUAAAAAAACCUGUCUACGCUGCUCAGGACUCAUCUCAAUUAACUUGGUUCAUAGAAAGAACCCUCUGAGUGUGUUAGACAGACAAUGGGUUCACAUAGGGAUAUAACUGAUCGAUCUCAAUUCCAUUGAUAUAUUUACCCUCGCCUUCUUUAGAAAGAACAAGUGAAUUAAUUGAUGCCAGCCAUUGUUUUAUUGGCAAUGUUUUGCAAUGCAGUAAUGAAUUAUUGAUUUUGGUCUAUGUUAAUAUCCCUAAAAUUCAUUAGUUUUGUAAAAUGUAUUACUAAGUGUUAACUGAUUUUUUAUUUCAAUUUGAGGAAUGUUCUCAUAUUUAGGUUAAAUGGAAUUACUUAAUUCAGUGUCAAAUAGAAAUAUCAUUAUUGCAUCAAACCAAACCAUUACGUGACAUUCGUCAUGUGAGAUGUUAUCAUUUGCGUAUAAACAGUCGUUUCAGUGACUUCUUCAAAAUCGAUCAUCUGCUAGUGUGAAAUACAAAAUUGAAACUAAAUGUAAUCAGUCAUUUUGCUCUUUGAUUGAGUAUAGCUUUUAUCAAUAUUUCAUAUACUAGUUAAUGAAUGUAAACUUGUUAAAUAAUAGCAUAUGCUUGUUUUUACAUUUUAUAUUUUCACAUAAUAUAAAAUAUUUAUUGCAAACAUUUUUUCACACACAUUUUAUUGGAAAUGAUUAGUUAUUAUCAAACGUUGUAAUAAUAUAUUUAUUGAAAUAAACU